AUUGAACGCUGGCGGCAUGCCUAACACAUGCAAGUCGAACGGCAGCACGGUAUUCGGCCUCGCCUCGCGUUGGCGACGGGCGAGUAAUUCAUCGGUACGUGACCAGCCGCUGGGGCUAGGCUGGCGACGGCGGGAUUAUUACGCUACUCGAUCAUAGGGUGAAAGGGGGGGACCAAAAGUCCUUGGGCUUUUGGGUGGGCCGAUGAGGGAUUAGCUAGUUGGUGGGGUAAAGGCUUACCAAGGCGACGAUCCGUAGCUGGUCUGAGAGGACGACCAGCCACACUGGAACUGAGACACGGCCCAGACUCCUACGGGAGGCAGCAGUGGGGAAUUUUGGACAAUGGGGGCAACCCUGAUCCAGCCAUGCCGCGUGCGGGAAGAAGGCCUUCGGGUUGUAAACCGCUUUUGUUCGGGAAGAAAUACUCUGGGCUAAUACCCCGGGGGGAUGACGGUACCGGAAGAAUAAGCACCGGCUAACUACGUG
rnacentral:rRNA from 1 species